UGGGGAAUAUUGGACAAUGGGCGCAAGCCUGAUCCAGCCAUACCGCGUGUGUGAAGAAGGCCCUAGGGUUGUAAAGCACUUUAAGUUGGGAAGAAAAGUUAUUGGUUAAUACCCAAUAACCGUGACAUUACCAUCAGAAUAAGGACCGGCUAAUUCCGUGCCAGCAGCCGCGGUAAUACGGAAGGUCCAAGCGUUAAUCGGAAUUACUGGGCGUAAAGCGCGCGUAGGUGGUUUAUUAAGUUGGAUGUGAAAUCCCCGGGCUCAACCUGGGAACUGCAUCCAAAACUGAUUCACUAGAGUACGAUAGAGGGAGGUAGAAUUCACAGUGUAGCGGUGGAAUGCGUAGAUAU
rnacentral:rRNA from 1 species